rnacentral:rRNA from 1 species
UACAGAGGGUGCGAGCGUUAAUCGGAAUUACUGGGCGUAAAGCGCACGUAGGCGGCUUGGUAUGUCGGGUGUGAAAUCCCCGGGCUCAACCUGGGAACUGCAUCCGAAACUGCCUUGCUCGAGUAUGGGAGAGGGAAGUGGAAUUUCCGGUGUAGCGGUGAAAUGCGUAGAUAUCUGGAGGAACACCGGUGGCGAAGGCGGCAUUCUGGACUGCAACUGACACUGAACGACGAAAGCCAGGGGAGCAAACGGG